rnacentral:rRNA from 1 species
UACGUAUGGGGCGAGCGUUGUUCGGAAUCAUUGGGCGUAAAGGGAGCGUAGGUGGGAUUUUAAGUCAGGUGUGAAAGGCCACGGCUCAACCGUGGGACUGCAUUUGAAACUGGAGUUCUAGAGUAUGGGAGAGGAAGACGGAAUUCCUGGUGUAGCGGUGAAAUGCGUAGAUAUCAGGAAGAACACCGGUGGCGAAGGCGGUCUUCUGGCCUAAUACUGACGCUGAUGCUCGAAAGCAUGGGGAGCAAA